CCCUCCGCUCCGGAGCCCAGCGCACCAGUGGACCACCACGGAUACCACCACGGAUGCCCCCAAGACUCCAGCCUAAUGCGCAGGGACAUUGCUGGCCACCCACCACCCAGAGCCUGCCACCCUUCCAGCUGGUGGCCCAGCUUUGACUCAGGAGCCACGUGCCAGCCCAGAAGUCUCCAGGUUGCUCCUAACGUGGCUGGAACACGCGGAUGGGAGGUGGCGUGGGUCGGCGUCCUGCUGGACCUCGGUAGGCGACGCUCUGAUCAGUGAGGCUGAGAGCGCGGAGGUCCUCGAUGGGGUCUCAAUGGUGCGGACCCCCCAACACUAGACCCCUUCUCUGAUUGUCUGCCAGCUGGAUUCUUCCCAUUCUGGCCUGGGACCUGUGAGUGUGAGAACUGAAUGACACUGCAUCAGACGACCGAGGAUGAGAUGGCUGGAUGGCAUCACUGACUCGAUGGACAUGAGUUUGAGUAAACUCCGUGAGUUGGUGAUGGACAGGGAGGCCCGGUGUGCUGCAGUCCAUGGGGUCGCAAAGAGUCGGACACGACUGAGCGGCUGAACAGAACUGACCUGAUACGCCAUCACCUGAUGUACUGCGGAAAGGUACCCACUCCCCCACUGAGGGGCAUCUUGAGGCUUCCCCAUGUUGGCCAUGAUGAAUAAGCUGCCGGACUCAUCCAGGAGCAGGUUUUUGCGUGGAAGUUUCCAGCUCUUUGGGGUUAGGAGCCAAGGAUCGCGGUGGCUGAACUGCGUGGUGGGUGUGUGUGCCGUGUCAUAAGAUGCCGCCUCGCGCUCCCACCAGCCAUGAGGCGGUAUCUGCUGGUGUUAGUGUUUCGGUUUGGGCCUUACAGACGUGUAGGGACAUAGUUCUUUUAUUUUAGGCAAACAUUUUCAUGUGUUAGAUCUGACAUCCUGACAUGGGCCCCCCCACUCCAGAGCUUGGUGCCAGGGAGGCCCAGCAGUGGCCCGGGGAAGGAGGCGCCCCCACACACAGUGAGGAAGAGGGUGGGCAGGAGCCCUCCCGGGGGGCAGCCUCCCCGCUGUGCUUUGCAAGCCAGACUGGGGAGCCGGGGCUUCUUCCUGAGAGUAGUGGGCGCCCCUGGAGGGCUCCAAGUUGGGCGGUGCGCGGGGGAGGGAAGAUAAGAUGAGCCUGGAAGUGCCUUGGGGCUGCUGCUGAGAACCACAGUGCCUGAACGAGAUGCAAGAGUGAGACGCACUGGACCGGCUGGGGAAGGUGCAGGGAGCAGGGGGGCAGAGGUGGGAGGGGGCUGUGGUUUUACAGGAGGCCGUCAGAGAGCCUCAGAGAGCCUCACGGAGGAGCCGGCAUUCCCAGGGAACGCAGAGGCCGCGUGCGAAGGCCCCCAGCCACGUGACAGAGGCAGAGGGCGGGGUGGAGGGGCGAGCCCCGGGCCGCAGGUCUCCCCAGGUUCACAGGCCCAGAGGCCGAGAGGGUCUCUCCCUCCUGGGGUCGGGGCGGGGGGGCUUCAUCACAGAAUACAACUGAGUAAAUCAUUGGCCACUGACCCUGCGCUCACCCUCUGGCCUGUCUCCCCUCCUCGAGGCGGUGGGGGUCCUGGAGUCCCUCCCGAUUCAGAGCAGGCUCUCCUGCCGUCAGCUCCCUUCCCUGGGUCUUUUCCCAAAGCUUCCCUGUGAACGUCACCCCAGCAGCACAGAAAAGGGACUUGCUGUGAACAUAAAUGACUAGGCACCCGUGUCUGCUUCACGACUCUCGGGGGGUUCAGGAGCUGGGGAGAAGACAGCAGGGGCUGUAACCAGGGGCGCUGUCGUGGAUCUCACUGCUGGGGGCUUCAGGGGAGGGAGGUGUGGGCCGGGGGCUGGGGGCAGCACCAGACAUAUGGGUCUCAUGAAUCUCAGCAUCACGGCCUGGUCUUGUAACCUGGGAGACUCCAAAUGUUCCAGAAAGUUCCGAGGGCCGUUCUGAAGAGGGAGGUGGAGCCCAGUACCCUCCGAUGGAGGGUACGUGCAGUCAAGCACACGUCUCGUGGAAGAUGUUUCUAGCCAUGAGGAGGUGCAGGAAGCCGGGUUUACGGCAUGUUCUCCUGGAGGGCGGUCUGCAGGCCAGCCCUGCCAGCUUUCCCAGGGCGCCUCAUCCUGCCCUUUGUCCUCAGCUCCUGCAGGGCGUGUUGCUGGCCAGCGCCGGUGGUGGGUGAUGACUUCAUUCCUGUAGAACUGGAUGGUGGGCAACAUUCCUUAUUUUACAGUCCCUUCCUCUUCCGUCUUCACUUCAGUCAAGGCUCCGAGGGCGCCGUGUGACCAGCCUGUUCCGUGGCGAGGAUUUCCGUGACGGGUGGCUCGGGUUAUGUAACUGGACUGGACCCUGUCACCCCAGGCCUUGGGACCACCAGUCUGACUCCUCUGUCAUGGGGCUGGGAAACGGGCUGCUCUUGCCGCCUCUUUCUGCCCCUAGAGUUUUACUCGGUUACAGUGAUUGAUCUGACUGAACUGUCCAUCUGGUCAAUCCUUUCAAGUCGUCUGUAAUCAUCAUUCAUUUUAUCUGGGGCUCAAUCACGUUCUUUUUGAUCAAAGAAACAAUCGUCUUGUAAAAUAGGCGGAAUACACGUAAUAUAACGAGGGGCGUUAAUAAGGUCAUGAGCGUGUCUUUAAGCUCAGAAUGUCUGUUAGGCGUGGCCCUCUAUCUCCCCCGGUCAUCUGGCCAGUCUGUUCUGUACCAGUUGCUAUCUUUAAGGGAAAUGAUAUACUGCUCAUAAAGUCCACCAAAGAUGUCUGCACGUCCAAGGCCAGCGAUGGGUCAUCAUGACCCCUUACAGGACCGAGAAAGGAAUGUUAUCUUCUAAAGAGUUACAUGGUUGACGUCAAGACAAGAAAAAUAGAUUUUUAUGGUUGAGCAGGUAUUCCUUUCCUUGGGGAGGUCUGGUUAAUGCAUAAUGCAGAUGCAUAAUGCCCGCCAGAGGGGAGCGGGGAGGCCAAAGGGCAGGGGGAAAAAAAUGUCAUGUUAAAAUUUUCCUUGCCUUGCUUGAGAACUUGAAUUUUUUUCUUCAGGUGUCUGCCGUCCAUGUUUAGAGGUACUGGUGUGGCCUGGCUGGAGGACGUCCGCUGAGCCCCGCAGAAAAAGAGCCGCUGCCAGACUGUGUGGCUUUAUGCUUCCAGCAGAGACGUGGGCCCCUCCUCGCUGGCCGUUUGGACGCUCAGUCUUUUUGACUUCAGCUUCUCUCCUAGAGUGGCGUCCUGUGACUCCAUUUUGCUUUUCCCCGGGCUCAUGCUUUCCAUAUCGAAUGUAGGAGACCUUCGCGUUGUCUGAAUUCACAGAGAUUCUCCCCUGAGUUUUUAUGGCUCUAGUUUUACAUGAUCGGUGACAGCCACGAAGAGUCUGGGCCAGUUUUCUUGAAGAGGAUCUCACAAUCAAAUCGGCUGGACAGUUUCUUCACGGUCAGACCCAGGCUGAACUCUGGGGCCAGAUUACGGCCUCAGUGGCACUGGGUCCUCUGGGCUCUUCACGGCCAGCUGCCCGAGGCCUGAGGCUCUCGCUGGUGAUGGUGCUGAGACUGAUCACCAGCUUCAGAUGAGGCUCACCAGUAUUCUGUUUCCAGAGAAAACUAAAGGUGUUUGGGUUUCCUGGACACAUGUCUUAUACCACAUCGAGAAAAUAAAUCAUGCUGAGCGGGAACGGACGUUUCUAGAGGUUACAGAAUAGGUUUACAAGUCUGCCCGCCAGGAGACAUCGCGAUGACAAGCAGUUCACGGUUGCUUGCUUCUUGGUUUUUGCUAAAGAUUCAGGUUUUUCUAAGGGCUACAAAUUAUAGUAUAUAUGUAAUUAAAGCUACUUUAACCUGGAUGCCCAUCGACAGAUGAAUGGGCAAAGAAGCUGUGGUACAUACACACGAUGGGAUACUACUUAGCCGUAAAGAUGAACACAUUGGAGUCGGUUCUAAUGAGGUGGAUGAACCGAGAGCCUGUUAUACAGAGUGAAGUAAGCCAGAAGGAGGAAAACCACUAUCGUAUAUUAACGCGUGUACGUGGAGUCCAGAAAGAUGGUGCUGAUGAACCCCUUCUCAGGGCAGCAGCGGAGAUGCAGACGUAGAGGGCAGACUCGUGGGCCCAGAGGACGACGCGAGGGCGGGACGCAUGGACGGAGCAGCCUGGAGACGUGCACACCGCCGCGUGUGAGACAGGCGGCGGGCAUCCGCUGUGUGACGCAGGGGCUCACGCCCGGUGCUCUGGGACGACCUGGAGGGGUGGGAUGGAGGAGGCGGGAGGGAGGGCACGCACGCAUACCUGUGGCCAGUUCAUGUCGCUGUGCGGCAGAGACCAGCACAGCGUUGUACAGCAGUCGUCCCCCAGUUAAAAAUAAAUACAUUUUUAAAAAGCUACCUUAAAAAGGGAAACAUUUCAGCACAUAAGGAGGAAACUAUGAAGGAAAAGAAUAAGAUGCAUGUUUUCAGUAAAAUAAGGUAUGAAAAAUGGCAAUAAAUUAAGGGCAAAGACUGUGAUGUUGUCCUGAAGAAUUUUAAAGAGAGAUUUUUGUGUGGCAGGAAGCAGCACAACAUUGUAAAGCAAAUAUCCUUUAAUUAAAGAUAAAUAAAUUUAAAAAAUAAAGAUAUUAAACUAAUUAGGCUUAUUAGGAUGUUAAAUUACAUGGGAAAUAUUAUCAAACAAAAAACAACAUUAAGCCUUCUUUAUGUUAUGUCUAUAUAAAUAUAUUAUACAUUAUGUGUUCCAGAAAUUAUAUGAAAUUCCUGGAAGCUUUGUGUGUCCUGACAUAAAAUGUUAUCUGACAUAAAAACUGAGGCUCCCACUGAAGGGGCUGAACCCAAGAAUCAGGGUA